rnacentral:lncRNA from 1 species
ACUCCAUAGACAGAGCAUGGUGUUCCCAGAAGGAAGAGAAGGAACACAUCCACCUUAAACAGAGCAUGGUGUUCCCAGAAGGAAGAGAAGGAACACAUCCACCUUAAACAGAGCAUGGUGUUCCCAGAAGGAAGAGAAGGAACACAUCCACCUUAGACAGAGCAUGGUGUUCCCAGAAGGAAAAGAAGGAACACAUCCACCUUAGACAGAGCAUGGUGUUCCCAGAAGGAAAAGAAGGAACACAUCCACCUUAGGAUAUUGGGACAUCAGGACAUUUUCUGGGUCUGUUAUCUCCUGGAUCUGUUAAAUCCUGGUGUUAGCGGCAGCAAAUCCAUAUGGGUCUGCAGCAACCUCAAUCCUCG